AGAUCCGAGACAUGGAUGGUAAGAUUCCGUCCAACUUGGGCGAGCACAGUAUGUGAACCCAACUGGCGACUCUGCACAAGUCGGCAGAGCCCUCCUGAGUUGGCCACCGCAGAGGGACGGGACGGAGCGCUUCUCUGAUCGCGACGGGUCUCCUCCUCGACUGACGGCGGCGGAAAAGAUCGUCGCCGCCCUCCUGCUCUUUUCACGACUCUCCGUCGUCCCCCUCAAGAUCGGUUUCUCUAAGAGCCAAUAUUGCAAAGCAUACUCCGAAGUUGUGAUUUACAAAUUUGAAAAUUAUAAGCUUGGAAUCUCCAUGCUAUUAUUAUCUAGGCUACUGAAACUUGUGACAUACCAUGCUGAGUAUUUAUCUUGUCUGCACAGUUUGAUGCAGUCUCCAUGGUGAAAAGUAGAAGCCAAGGGCAUGACACAAGCUCGUGUUACCUGAAUAAAAUGUACUGGCUUGUAUGCCUUGGUACAUCUGGUACACAUCAUUCUUGGUUGAUGCAAGAGAAAAUACUGAAGAUAAGCUCAGAGUGUUAUACCAAAAUGUUAUUUCUGCUUGAAUAAUGGCUGUUCUUCAAAUCACGAUUGGUAUUAGCAACUUCAAAUUGGAAAGUGCAAGGAUUUUUUUCUGAGUGGCUAAAGGAUGAACUAAUGGAGUACUUAAUUUCCAGAUCAGGCUUCCUUUUCUAACAAGAUGAUCAUCAGCAAAAGGCUCUCCUGGGGAGUGGAAAUUACAUAAGCAUUUGCUUGAUCAGCAGUUGGGUUGGAGUACACUGCUCAUCAUGUGCUUUGAAGACUACCUUGGCGAAGGAACUAUGACUUUAAAGAUCCAUCAAGUGAAAAAAACUUUAAUCCUUAAUUUUUUAUGUUGGUUCAGCUCUGUUCUUCUUCUUAUGAUUACAAGUACACCAAAGAAGAACACCUCUAAUCUUGUUCAUGUCUGCUUUGUAAUCUGUAUUGGAUUCCUCCUUCUUAGUGAAGCAAAAACUUUCUACUAAACAUUCUAAUUUCUCUGACA